GGCCUCCCAGCGCUUACUUACCACAGGCUGUGUUCUCACCCCACCUGCACAGAAAAGGGCGGCAGAGCAAACCCCCGGCACACACACCUCAGCCCCGUCCUUUUGCCUGGUCUGUACUGUGAAUGAGGGAACAUGG